GUGAAUGUAGCUCAACCGGUUAGAGCACUCGGGUGUGAUCCGAGAGGUUACGGGUUCGACCCCCGUCGUUCACC
rnacentral:tRNA from 1 species